AGACGGAGGGGGCUAGCGUUGUUCGGAAUUACUGGGCGUAAAGCGCGCGUAGGCGGAUUGAUCAGUCAGAGGUGAAAUCCCAGGGCUCAACCCUGGAACUGCCUUUGAUACUGUCAGUCUUGAGUUCGAGAGAGGUGAGUGGAAUUCCGAGUGUAGAGGUGAAAUUCGUAGAUAUUCGGAGGAACACCAGUGGCGAAGGCGGCUCACUGGCUCGAUACUGACGCUGAGGUGCGAAAGCGUGGGGAGCAAACAGGAUUAGAAACCCUGGUAGUCC
rnacentral:rRNA from 1 species